GACGAACGCUGGCGGCGUGCUUAACACAUGCAAGUCGAACGGAAAGGCCCUGCUUUUGUGGGGUGCUCGAGUGGCGAACGGGGGAGUAACACGUGAGUAACCUGCCCUUGACUUUGGGAUAACUUCAGGAAACUGGGGCUAAUACCGGAGAGGAGCUCCUGCUGCAUGGUGGGGGUUGGAAAGUUUCGGCGGUUGGGGAUGGACUCGCGGCUUAUCAGCUUGUUGGUGGGGUAGUGGCUUACCAAGGCUUUGACGGGUAGCCGGCCUGAGAGGGUGACCGGCCACAUUGGGCCUGAGAUACGGAGCAGACUCCUACGGGCGGCAGCGGUGGGAAAUAUUGCACAAUGGGCGGAAGCGUGAUGCGGCAACGCCGCGUGCGGGAUGCCGGCCUUCGGGUUGUAAACCGCUUUCGCCUGUGACGAAGCGUGAGUGACGGUAAUGGGUCAAGAAGCACCGGCUAACUACGUG
rnacentral:rRNA from 1 species